GUGCUCGCUUCAGCAGCGCAUAUACUAAAACUGGAACGAUACAGAGAAGAUUAGCAUGGCCCCUGGGCGAGAAUGACACGCAAAUUCAUGACACACGUUCCAUAUUA